rnacentral:rRNA from 1 species
AGCGAACGCUGGCGGCAGGCCUAAUACAUGCAAGUCGAGCGCACCUUCGGGUGAGCGGCGGACGGGUGAGUAACGCGUGGGAACGUGCCCUUUGGUACGGGAUAACUGAGGGAAACUUCAGCUAAUACCGUAUGUGCCCUACGGGGGAAAGAUUUAUCGCCAUUGGAGCGGCCCGCGUUGGAUUAGGUAGUUGGUGGGGUAAAGGCCCACCAAGCCGACGAUCCAUAGCUGGUCUGAGAGGAUGAUCAGCCACACUGGGACUGAGACACGGCCCAGACUCCUACGGGAGGCAGCAGUAGGGAAUCUUGCGCAAUGGGCGAAAGCCUGACGCAGCCAUGCCGCGUGAAUGAUGAAGGUCUUAGGAUUGUAAAAUUCUUUCACCGGGGACGAUAAUGACGGUACCCGGAGAAGAAGCCCCGGCUAACUUCGUGCCAGCCGCCGCGUAAAAC